rnacentral:tRNA from 1 species
GCGGCGGUGGUGUAAUGGUGCACAAAUCGUGUCCAACGAUAAGGAUCAGGUUCAAUUCCUAGCCGCCGCU